UACGGAGGGAGCUAGCGUUGUUCGGAAUUACUGGGCGUAAAGCGCGCGUAGGCGGCUUUGUAAGUUAGAGGUGAAAGCCCGGGGCUCAACUCCGGAACUGCCUUUAAGACUGCAUCGCUAGAAUCCGGGAGAGGUGAGUGGAAUUCCGAGUGUAGAGGUGAAAUUCGUAGAUAUUCGGAAGAACACCAGUGGCGAAGGCGGCUCACUGGACCGGUAUUGACGCUGAGGCGCGACAGCGUGGGGAGCAAACAGG
rnacentral:rRNA from 1 species